AACACAGGUCUCAGAGGAGGGAAGGGGAAAGUCAAGAUACACUGAGGUCAAAUGGUCCUGCAAGGGUAUUAGUCUGUUCUUAUACUGCUGUAAAGAAUUUAUCGAGACUGGGUAAUUUAUAAAGGAAAGAGGUUUAAUUGAUUCGCAGUUCAGCAUGGCUGGGGAGGCCUCAGGAAACUUACAAUCAUGGCAGAAGGGGAAGCAAACACGUUCUUCUUCACACGGUGGCAGGAAUGACAAGUGCCACGCAAAAAAGGGAAACCGUCUUAUAAAACCAUCAGAUCUCACGAGAACACGCUCACUAUCACAAGAAAAGCAUGAGGUGACUGCCCCCACAAUCUCAUCGCCUCUCACAAGGUUCCUCCCCCAACACAUGGGGAUUACAAUUUGGAUUACAAUUCAAGAUGAGAUUUGGGUGAGGACACAGAACCAGACCAUAUCAGCCAGCUAUGCAGGAAGGGGUCCCAAAAUACCAUUUAAAUUAGCUCAUAGAAAAUAUAUUGCUCUUUCUUCUGGUACAACGUGAGUUUUUGAAUGGAGAUUUGCACGGAGUAUACAUUAUUUUAAAGCAAUGCAUUUUAGAGCAAACACAGAUAUACUUCGUAUUCAUAUGAAUUUAUAAAAGCAAAUUCAUACUUCAAAGAAACAUCAUGCUCCCUUGGGCUGUGACUUCUGUCUCACUCAACUAUCGGUUCGAUGAAGCAGAAACUGUGUUUUGCCUGUAAUGUCUUCCCAGGGCCUGACACAUCACCUCACUCAGAGGAGGUACCAAAUAUUUGUUGAAAUAAUAAAUGAAUGCAUGACCUCCUCUGCAUGCAUUCAAUAGAAAAUUUUCAGAUAUUCUCAAGAUGAUGCAAAAUAUAUGUACACACCAGGCACUAUACCACUGUCUAUUUUUAAAAACAUGGUUUUCUUAGGCAGAUGUGUAUCAUUAGCAGGUGUAACUACGAAUGAUCCUAUGGGUCUGAUGAUAUGAGCAGAUUAAACACCCUCUCACAUUCGUUUGCAUUCUCUCUUGGAGCCAGACUCUGAAUAAAACAAAUAUUAGCUCUCUGCCUUUUAUAUGUUGUUUUCUUCUUUAGGUUCUUUCCAGCCAUUCUGUGUCCAAAUGGCUUUACAGUAGUGUAUCUUCAAGAUGCCUAUUCUUUAUACUUUUACUUUCCAACCAUUCCCAAUCUGAGAAACUUUUUCUCAUCCAGUGCAUGUCAGUACCCGGUGAGAUAGAUAUAUUUGGUACGUAUCAGUAGAGGCAUAUUCUGUUGCUUUCUUCUCAGCACAAAUCAUAAUUAACACCUGUCAGACUGGAGACAGUGAUAUGUGUACUUUGAGCAUGGCUGAAGGAAAGGGAAGACGUGGGUAUAGUCAGGGAUAGCAUCAAAACUUUGUACUCCCUGCAAGGGCAGGGGCAUCCCCAAUCAGAGCAGCGACCACAGCAAAAAGCACAGCCUCCCCUUAAACUACCAGCACAGCCUCACUGGUGUGCACCACCUGAGCAUCCCGCCAGGUACCCGUCAUCAACCCAACUCAUCACCUCCAACGGAACAACCAAGAGGUGCGGUGUUAUCACGGGUACGGAUCUGCUUCCCACCUUUCACCAGAAUACCUCCAUGGCCUCUCCCUCAGCCCAUGUGUUGACUUUGCCUGUCUUCAGCUUUGCUGCUAUUUUAAACUUGGCUUUCCUGGUCAGCCUGGUGCAAUCAGACCACAGGCACGAACCCUUUUACGACGUACCUUCCGCCCAGCCCUUCCCCUUCAUUCUCCUGCCUCCACCCCAAUCCACGUCCUAUCUCCUUGCACAAGAAUGACU
rnacentral:lncRNA from 1 species